CACCCAGAUUACACCGUCCGGCAGUUGCUGGACAUUCGUCGUCGGGGCAGGGGGUAUCAGUACCUCGUGGAUUGGGAGGGUUAUGGGCCAGAGGAAAGGAGCUGGGUUUCGCGGGGCCUCAUCCUCGACCCCUCCCUCAUCCGGGAUUUUCAUCGGGCUCACCCAGAGAGGCCUAGGCCGCCUGGAGGCGUCCAUUGAGGGGAGGGUACUGUUGUGGUCACAGCAGUCUGCUGUGUUUUUCCUCCUCCUGGGUUUGCCACUCCCCCUGUCGGUCUCACUUCACACCUGGCCGUCAUCUGCAAUCAUGCUCACCUGGUCGUCAUCUCCAAUCAACUCCCCUUCAUAAACCCUUGGAUUCCCUGCUGUCGGUGCCAGAUCGUACUUCGCUCUACAGUGUUAUCCGGAUCACGCACUCCAGCUCGCCUGCCUCACCCUCCCCCCGGCUUCCGCGUCCUCUACCUGCUCCUCCACCUCAUUCAAUAAACCCCCUUGCAUCAAUUCAA